ACGCUUUUUCUGCAGUCUUUUUUGUCAACAUUUCUGAAGUCCAGAUCCUUCUGGUGUGGAACAGCACCAGAACUCUACCUCAGAAGCUGACGUGGUCCCCUGAGCAAGCUCUAACACUCUUCUUCCACCCACGGGUUCGUUCUCCUCAGAGAAGCAGAAAGAGACUCCCUAGAGAGUUCCAUGUUGCUUUCAUUUCACUGUCUCAGUCCAUUGCUGUUCAACACUAUGUUCUUCCUUAUCACUUAUCAUCCCAUUUACAACCUGAAGCCAGAAGAACUGUGCAAAACAACAUCUGCGCUGGCAAUUGUCUAACUCAGAUUUUUGAGGCACGGCACUUCUGGAAUUGAUUACCCUAUGAAGACAACAACAAUUAUGCUAAGCAGCCUUUUUGGAAUUACUGGGGAAAGGACAACAGCAGCGCUGAAUGUCUCUCGAGUGCAGCUCAUCCCUCUCUCCAAUAUUCUCCUUCACAGGCUGAAGUACCUUCACAUCACAGGCUGUCGCAAAACCAAUGCUUUGGUUCUGCUGCCAAAUUAUUUUCUUAUACAAUUCACUAUACUUCUCCUGCAUCCUCAUUUGUCUAAAACAGAGAUAAGGACCCUUAUCUCAACAUAAACUAACAUUACCAUGGAGGCUUUGUUCCCGUGUGCUCCUUCCUCCUGCCCCUGCUGUAGCACCUGUAGUAGCUCUGCUCCCCCCCAGGAGCCAUCAGUUGGGUUACGGCUCAACCCUUUAGCCACACCAAAAGCUGCUGUAUGUCUAGCACUAAAUUUCAAACCAACAUCCUACAAGGUACAAGCUAAAAGCAAGCGACUGGAACCUGUACCAGAUGAGCCAAAUUCCAGCCUAACUGACACCACCUAGCCCUAUGGCAGCAGCCCCACUGAGCAGUCUGCAUUGGGUCUUACUUGCCAGAGACUUCAGGGAUUAUUUUUAGGAGCUGACUUGUCAGCAUCCCCACCCCACCGCAGGAGCCGCCAGCCUCCUGUCCUUUCACAAGCUUUUAUGCCUGAAUGCAAUCAUUGCACCUCAUCAAACAGAUGAGCACCAUGACUGAUACGCGUAUCUAUUAAAAGCAUGUUAAAAUGGCUACGUGAAAUAUCCUAGUAAGUAAUUACCCCUAUUAAACAUAUAAUCUUUCUUAAUUAUGUUUGAAAAUCUCAGUCUGUUCUUAAACAGAUAAAUGAAAAGUAAAAAUGAGGAAAAAGCAAGAUAUACAACAGCAAAUUUAAGUUCAAUUUAUUCUAUUUAGGUCAUGGUAAUGCCUAGUAUUUGUAUACACAGCUACUACAGUUUUCUUUUUGCAUUAAUUCAUGACAUUAGCAAAAUAUUUUUUUAAACAGUAUCUCAAAAGUUGCUUAUGAGCUUUGUCUUAGAGAAAACACAAUUUUUCUUCAAAGUUAUGAAAUGGGAAGGAGGGAAAUAAUACGUUGCUUUCCUGUUAUUUUGACAUCACUUAGAAGUUCAGUAAGCUUUACAAAACUGUAAAGCAUGACCAACAGUUAGGAAUUGUACUUGCAUUCUGAGACCAUAAAUGGUAAAUAAUUAUAUAUUAUCUUUUACUGAAGACAGUUCUAAUCUACAGAUUACUGAAAAGUGAUAAAUGAGGAAGAGAGACGCAAGCUUUCAAUUCUAAGCAUUUACUUCAAUAGGCAGCUGAUGAGGACAGAACUAGGAUCUAAUGUGCAGGAUAUGCACAACUGUAAUGGAGAAAAGCAACUCAUCCUGAGAAAAGUCUAAGAUGGCAUCUGGUGCUGCCAUUUCAAACAUGUCUUUUGGGAACUGAAAGCCUGAAGGAUAAAAUAAGAGAGAAAGAAUACUUUAAAAAAAUAAAAAAAAAAAAGAGAGAGAAAACUUAUUCCACAUUAAAGUCAGCAUUUUUUGUGCAUUUCAAAAGCAAUAGCAUGGUACCUGUCUCUAAAAUUAUAAGAAUGUCUAAUCCAAUGUGUGCUUCUUAGACUCUUGGUGGUACUACAGCCCACUGUGACAUGAAAAUAUUAAAUGGUGAUGAUGGGGUAAUAAAGCUUUUCCCAGAAUGAUUUUGGAGCAGUCAUAUUUCUCAUGAGCAAAGAAGCCAAAAAGGACAAAAUGGUACAUCCUAAGCAUCAGUGCAGAUUUAUACCUCAGAACCUUUAAGCUCACCUAGUAAAUAUCUAUCAGAUUGCAGAUACACCAAUUGAUUCAAGUCUGAUUACUGUCUGGUCCAGUUUUGUAAGAAUAAUACAGAAUCACACAGAAUCACAGAAUUUCUAGGUUGGAAGAGACCUCAAGAUCAUUGAGUCCAAAAGUAAAGAAGUAAAGAAGAGACAGUAAAGAAGAGACUUCAUAUUUCAGAGAAAUAAAGAAAAUACAUUCUUGUUUAAGGAAUGCUUUCCCAAAGCAAAGAAAGGGACA